GGGUAAGAGCACUCUGCGGCACACAGGUGCGUGCGGCUUUGGAUAACGCAGCUCCUGUUGUUUUGGGUAGCUGUGAAGUUUGCCAUUAGACACCUAAAAGCACUCUGGGGAAUGUGGUUCUGGUGGUACCCUGCUGAGAAUGAGGAGACAGUGUCCUCUGAUCCUUUCUUCAGCUUCCAGCAUCACAUGACCUCCUCCCAGCAAUCAGUGUCCUACAAGACAGUCUCCUAGUCAGCAUCGAUGGAAGCCGGUCUUCUUUCAGAUGGACUCAUCUGACAAGGAUAAUUUCAAAG